GACGAACGCUGGCGGCGUGCCUAAUACAUGCAAGUAGAACGCUGAAGGAGGAGCUUGCUUCUCUGGAUGAGUUGCGAACGGGUGAGUAACGCGUAUGUAACCUGCCUGGUAGCGGGGGAUAACUCUUGGAAACGCUAGCUAAUACCGCAUAAGAUUAUAUGUUGCAUGACAUUUGCUUAAAAGGUGCAAUUGCAUCACUACCAGAUGGACCUGCGUUGUAUUAGCUAGUUGGUGGGGUAACGGCUUACCAAGGCGACGAUACAUAGCCGGCCUGAGAGGGGGAUCGGCCACACUGGGACUGGGACACGGCCCAGACUCCUACGGGAGGGAGCAGUAGGGAAUCUUCGGCAAUGGACGGAAGGCUGACCGAGCAACGCCGCGGGAGUGAAGAAGGGUUUCGGAUCGUAAAGAUCUGUUGUAAGAGAAGAACGAGUGUGAGAGUGGAAAGUGCACACUGUGACGGUAUCUUACCAGAAAGGGACGGCUAACUACGUG
rnacentral:rRNA from 1 species